rnacentral:rRNA from 1 species
UACGUAGGGUGCGAGCGUUGUCCGGAAUUAUUGGGCGUAAAGGGCUCGUAGGCGGUUUGUCGCGUCGGGAGUGAAAACUCAGGGCUUAACCCCGAGCCUGCAGUGGAUACGGGCAGACUAGAGGUAGGCAGGGGAGAGCGGAACUCCUGGUGUAGCGGUGGAAUGCGCAGAUAUCAGGAAGAACACCGGUGGCGAAGGCGGCUCUCUGGGCCUUACCUGACGCUGAGGAGCGAAAGCGUGGGUAGCGAACAGG